CCGACUGAUGAGACUAAGGCGAAUGCGACUCUGCCUACUGACCCUUGGCUUCUGGGGGGUGGGGAGGGGUGACUAUGAUGAGAUCUGAAAUCUUGGUGGGGGUACCUGAGGCCUGAUUCCCCACUGUAAGGCCAGAUCAAUAGCACUGAUGGCCUUGCCUUCAUGUCUGCUGCCACCACAGUUCUUGGCAGCAUCCUGCUGGGAGGCCCACAAGGGGUGGCCAAAGUGUGAGUAGCCAUGUGAGCGCAACCUUGAAUCUGACA
rnacentral:snoRNA from 1 species